UACGGAGGGGGCAAGCGUUGUUCGGAAUUACUGGGCGUAAAGGGCGCGUAGGCGGCCAACUAAGUCAGGCGUGAAAUCCCCAGGCUCAACCUGGGAACUGCGUCUGAUACUGGAUGGCUUGGAUUUGGGAGAGGGAUGCGGAAUUCCAGGUGUAGCGGUGAAAUGCGUAGAUAUCUGGAGGAACACCGGUGGUGAAGGCGGCAUCCUGGACCAAUACUGACGCUGAGGAGCGAAAGCGAGGGUAGCAAACGGG
rnacentral:rRNA from 1 species